UGCAGCAGUGAGGAAUAUUGCUCAAUAGGGCGUAAGCCUCGAACCAGCCAAGUCGCGUGAGGGAUGAAGGUUCUAUGGAUCGUAAACCUCUUUUAUAAGGGAAUAAAGUGUGGGACGUGUCCUGUUUUGUAUGUACCUUAUGAAUAAGGAUCGGCUAACUGC
rnacentral:rRNA from 1 species